AUAAGAACUCAAACCUUCAUUAACUUUAAAUAUAUGUCUCAACCAAAGUAAUAACACAAUGAACAAAGUACUGCUAUAAUAAACAUGAUCUCUAACUACAAGUUUGUAACUAUGUUUGGCAUAAUAAAAUAAAACUAAAUAUGAGUUCUCUUAUUGAUCUCUUCAUGCCCCAUUAGCACCAACCAUCACCAAUAAAAAAUUCUAUAAUUCUUCAUUCUUCUAGCUGUCCAUCACCAACAAAUAGGCAUAAAGCUUUCUCUAAAUAUUUUUGCUAUCCACGCUUUCCUGCAAUUCAUGAACACAUAUAAUUUAUUAAUUUAAUAUAGGAACCUUGGUGAUUAAGUGCAUGGAAUAACUAAUCACGUGCAAACUAAAUGAUCAUAGUGACAUAGUAAAGAUAUAAACUAAAUUAAGGAACACUCUGCAGUAAUAUCAUAUACCGUUUGAGAUGACAAGAUCCCCACCAGUUUGAUGAACUUUAUUGACAUAUCAUACAAAGCAUAUUACCCACCAUUUCAAAGACAAAUCACAUUGGUAUUAAUACCUGCUAUCUUUUCUUUUGAUUACGAGUCCUCAAUAGUUGUUGGGUAGAAACAUAAUUCAAUGACCCAUUGGAACCAUUCUUUUUCUGAAAAAGAGUCCUGGUUGCACUAGUCAUUGUUGUCAUGGUAGUACCUUCAUCAACUAACGUUUCUGUGGUUAACACGCUUACUGGUUCAUUAUUCUACCAAAAUGAAAGCUUUGAUGUGAACAAGUUGCAUUUUAUAUGUAAACAUGUUGCAUCUUCUGUAAGUAACCUUGUUGUAUUUGUAUUACCUCUAUAGCCGCAUCCUCUAUGCGUGGUGGUGUGAUGAAGUUGUUGUUGACACUUGGUCCAUUUGGAACUUGUGUGGUAUACUCAACAAGUCUAACCCCAUCCACAGAGGGGGAUACAAUGCAGAAUAUGCACAGGAUAUAUCAAGGAUAAUGCUAAGGUUUAUUUGCCAUAAAGCUAGGUUUUUCAACACAUGCAGAGUUUCAUUUUUGAAAGGGGUUUUCACAAAACAUUUUCUUUAGUAUCCGAAUCAAUAAGAGGGGUUGAUCCUACACAAAGGAUCCAAUUUUUAAUGCCACUAGACUCCCCAUCCACAGUAGCUCACACCACAACUGCCGGACACCUUCCAAAAUUCAACUCACACCGUGCGAACCAUUCAUCACCCAAACACUAGUUAUGUGUCCAAGCCGUAACUCGUCCAAUGCCGUGGGCAUGGCUAGGGUAGGUUUUAACUCUGCAGAGGUUGUACACUUUACCCACAAGUAGGGUACCACAACACGAUCACCUUAGUGUCGGUGCAGAUCCUAACAAAGCCAUUACCCACCUUAGCUAAGACUGACUAGCCAACACGGAAGCAACCAAGGGGCUAAUGACCUUCCAACGAGGUCUUAACUGGGAUCGAAGUUCACAAAAUUUUUAGUCCUUCUCCAUGGUCUCCCGUUGCUCACCAGCUCUCUUGAUGGUUAACAGUCCAGCUAGUGGGAUUUAUGCUAAGCCGCCGCCCACACAACAGUCAAGUGGUUGCACGAUAGUGGGUUAGGCAAGAUGGCACAUCAAAUUGGUCCUUAACUGUGACUAGAUGGAUAUCUCCCAACCUUGCCCAACCACAAAGGUACGAGCCCAACUUAUUGGUAUUUCACACAAGAAACACCCAUCUAGCUCAUCUAAGCAUUUCCUUUCUUUAUAUCCGAAAACCCAUUUUCUCAUUUGAAAACACACUCACACAUUUAUCCUUUAAAUAAACCAUUGUAGUCAUGAUUGAAUUGAGUAACAAGGUCCUAAGGAUUCUAGCAGUAAUUAUUAUCCAAACAGAGCAAAUAAUAUUUAGAGAUAAUUAUAGGACAAUCAAGGACUGUUCAUAACAAUCAAGGGGUGGCUAUCCAACCGUGUUUCAGCAGUAAAACAAUAUGCAAUUUUAUAAAAUAGGUCAAUAGGUUGUGUUUGAAAAACUAGGAUAAAUUAAAUAUGCAUCAAAGGGUGAGAUUGGACUUGCCGUCCUCGUAGUUGGCCCGGAGUUCUUGCUCACGGUGCUGGUCCUUAGGCUCGGGCUCGCGGUCAAACUCCUCCUCGUGCUCCUCCUCAGGUAUUAUGUGAUCUACGGCACACACAACGAGCACACAAUAAAAGAAAAUUAAAGUUUUACCCGUUGAGCUUCGAACAGAGAACGCGAACGGAAAAUAGAAGGAAUGAGUAUUUUUAUGAGAUUUGGAGAUGACUCGGUGGAAGUAUAUUUGAGGAUGAUGUGGUCGAAUUUGGGAUUAAUUGGAGGAAGUUUGGCGCAUAAAAUGAUGAGAUAACCGUGUAUUUAGGGGUCAAAACAAGGCUUUGAACCCAACCGUAAGAACCAGGGGCCUAUUUGUGAAGAUUUCUAGGUGGUGGAGGGACAUAUCCACGAGAAUUUCUUGAGAGUGGUGGGAGGACUGGCUGGUGAAUAUGGGAAAGGUGGGGGUUAGAUCGAAAAGGGGGUGUUUUUCUUCUUCUCUUUCCUCGGUUCAGGAACAGAGAAGGUGGGGGAGGGGAUUCAGGGUGGGCCGGCCGGCCGAGCCUCGCCGGCGGCGAGCCGAGUGGUGGGGGAGGUAGAGGAGGGUGAGGGGGUUCCGUUUGUGCCUUCACCUUGGGCGAGUGGCGGUAAGGAAGGGGGCGCCGGUGGUGGCUUGGUGGCGGUGGCGCGCGGUGCUUUGGUGGCGGCGGUGUUUGGUGAGGGGCGACGCACGGGAGGCAGGGGCGACGAGCUGGGUGGCGAAGGAGGCUGGGCGUCGCCUCCCCUUUUAUAGGCAGCGGGAGGAGUAG
rnacentral:lncRNA from 1 species